rnacentral:rRNA from 1 species
UACGUGGGGUGCGAGCAUUAAUCGGAUUUAUUGGGCGUAAAGGGCGCGUAGGCGGCUCAUGAAGGCUGUGGUGAAAGUCCGGGGCUCAACCUCGGAUCGGCCGUGGCGACUCGUGGGCUGGAGCACUGUAGAGGCGGGUGGAAUUCCGGGUGUAGCGGUGGAAUGCGUAGAGAUCCGGAAGAACACCAGUGGCGAAGGCGGGUCUCUGGGCCGUUACUGACGCUGAGGAGCGAAAGCGUGGGGAGCGAACAGG